rnacentral:rRNA from 1 species
AUUGAACGCUGGCGGCAUGCUUUACACAUGCCAGUCGAACGGUAACAGCACUUCGGUGGCUGACGAGUGGCGAACGGGUGAGUAAUACAUCGGAACGUGCCUAGUAGUGGGGGAUAACUACUCGAAAGAGUAGCUAAUACCGCAUGAGAUCUAAGGAUGAAAGCAGGGGACCUUCGGGCCUUGCGCUACUAGAGCGGCUGAUGGCAGAUUAGGUAGUUGGUGGGAUAAAAGCUUACCAAGCCGACGAUCUGUAGCUGGUCUGAGAGGACGACCAGCCACACGGGGACUGAGACACGGCCCAGACUCCUACGGGAGGCAGCAGUGGGGAAUUUUGGACAAUGGGCGCAAGCCUGAUCCAGCAAUGCCGCGUGCAGGAUGAAGGCCUUCGGGUUGUAAACUGCUUUUGUACGGAACGAAAAGCCCUCUUCUAAUACAGGAGGGUCAUGACGGUACCGGAAGAAUAAGCACCGGCUAACUACGUG